rnacentral:rRNA from 1 species
AAAUUGAAGAGUUUGAUCAUGGCUCAGAUUGAACGCUGGCGGCAGGCCUAACACAUGCAAGUCGAACGGUAACAGGAAGCAGCUUGCUGUUUCGCUGACGAGUGGCGGACGGGUGAGUAAUGUCUGGGAAACUGCCUGAUGGAGGGGGAUAACUACUGGAAACGGUAGCUAAUACCGCAUAACGUCGCAAGACCAAAGAGGGGGACCUUCGGGCCUCUUGCCAUCGGAUGUGCCCAGAUGGGAUUAGCUAGUAGGUGGGGUAACGGCUCACCUAGGCGACGAUCCCUAGCUGGUCUGAGAGGAUGACCAGCCACACUGGAACUGAGACACGGUCCAGACUCCUACGGGAGGCAGCAGUGGGGAAUAUUGCACAAUGGGCGCAAGCCUGAUGCAGCCAUGCCGCGUGUAUGAAGAAGGCCUUCGGGUUGUAAAGU